rnacentral:rRNA from 1 species
CUCGGGAAACUGAGUAUAAUGCCCGAUAGAACACUAUACCUGGAAUGGUUUGUGUUCCAAAUGAAUGUCGCCGUAGGAUGGGACUGCGGCCUAUCAGUUUGUUGGUGAGGUAAUGGCCCACCAAGACUAUUACAGGUACGGGCUCUGAGAGGAGUAGCCCGGAGAUGGGUACUGAGACACGGACCCAGGCCCUAUGGGGCGCAGCAGGCGAGAAAACUUUGCAAUGUGCGAAAGCACGACAAGGUUAAUCCGAGUGGUUUGUGCUAAACGAACCUUUUGACAGUCCUAGAAACACUGUUGAAUAAGGGGUGGGCAAGUUCUGGUGUCAGCCGCCGCGGUAAAACCAGCACCUCAAGUGGUCAGGAUGAUUAUUGGGCCUAAAGCAUCCGUAGCCGGCUCUGUAAGUUUUCGGUUAAAUCUGUACGCUCAACGUACAGGCUGCCGGGAAUACUGCAGAGCUAGGGAGUGGGAGAGGUAGACGGUACUCGGUAGGAAGGGGUAAAAUCCUUUGAUCUAUUGAUGACCACCUGUGGCGAAGGCGGUCUACCAGAACACGUCCGACGGUGAGGGAUGAAAGCUGGGGGAGCAAACCGGAUUAGAUACCCGGGUAGUCCCAGCUGUAAACUAUGCAAACUCAGUGAUGCAUUGGCUUGUGGCCAAUGCAGUGCUGCAGGGAAGCCGUUAAGUUUGCCGCCUGGGAAGUACGUACGCAAGUAUGAAACUUAAAGGAAUUGGCGGGGGAGCACCACAAGGGGUGAAGCCUGCGGUUC